AGCCCUUCGGGGUGGAUUAGUGGCGAACGGGUGAGUAACACGUGGGCAAUCUGCCCUUCACUCUGGGACAAGCCCUGGAAACGGGGUCUAAUACCGGAUACGACUGCGGGAGGCAUCUCCUGUGGUGGAAAGCUCCGGCGGUGAAGGAUGAGCCCGCGGCCUAUCAGCUUGUUGGUGAGGUAACGGCUCACCAAGGCGACGACGGGUAGCCGGCCUGAGAGGGCGACCGGCCACACUGGGACUGAGACACGGCCCAGACUCCUACGGGAGGCAGCAGUGGGGAAUAUUGCACAAUGGGCGAAAGCCUGAUGCAGCGACGCCGCGUGAGGGAUGACGGCCUUCGGGUUGUAAACCUCUUUCAGCAGGGAAGAAGCGAAAGUGACGGUACCUGCAGAAGAAGCGCCGGCUAACUACGUGCCAGCAGCCGCGGUAAUACGUAGGGCGCAAGCGUUGUCCGGAAUUAUUGGGCGUAAAGAGCUCGUAGGCGGCUUGUCACGUCGGGUGUGAAAGCCCGGGGCUUAACCCCGGGUCUGCAUCCGAUACGGGCAGGCUAGAGUGUGGUAGGGGAGAUCGGAAUUCCUGGUGUAGCGGUGAAAUGCGCAGAUAUCAGGAGGAACACCGGUGGCGAAGGCGGAUCUCUGGGCCAUUACUGACGCUGAGGAGCGAAAGCGUGGGGAGCGAACAGGAUUAGAUACCCUGGUAGUCCACGCCGUAAACGUUGGGAACUAGGUGUUGGCGACAUUCCACGUCGUCGGUGCCGCAGCUAACGCAUUAAGUUCCCCGCCUG
rnacentral:rRNA from 2 species